UUCCAUAAAACAUAAUAUAUUGGCAAAUAUUUGCAAAAUGCAUUAUUGGUUACAAUGAAAGUAAUUACAUAGAUAAGACAAUUCCAUUAUGAGGAAGGUGCAGAUUAGCAGGCCAUUUACAAUUUGCUAGAAACAGCAAGGUACUUGGUGUGACGGCCCUGAGCAAUAAUUUUCCCAGUUUUUUUCUUCCUGAGCUCAACGCUGACAACUCCAACAGCCUUACCAACUCGGAGAACCUUUGCCUCAAUCUCAAUUUCUUCAUCGACAUAAGCAGCAUCCAAGUAUGAAACGUUGAUUUCCACCGAAACUCCGGUAAAUUGGGCUCCAACAGUGUAUAUUACAGCUGAACCCACCAAGUCAACGAGCGUGGCCGUAGCUCCACCAUGCAAGAAAUUGCCAGCAUUCAGUAGGCGAGGAGGGACUUUCAUGGAGCAAACUAUACGGCCGGGUUCAAUAAGGUCAACGUGAAGGCCUUGCAUUAUGAAGCGUUCGAAGAAUCUGAGAGGCAUUCCUUCGAUGGUUGAUCGGUUCUUGUCAUCUUCGCCUUCUCGUCCGCCUUUCUCCAGGUAUCUCUUCACCGACUCCAAAUCCAUUUCUCCUUCUCCUUCUUCUUCUUCUUCU
rnacentral:misc_RNA from 1 species